rnacentral:lncRNA from 1 species
AUUUCCUUUCUUUUCAGGAUUCUUUUAAUUAUUCUACUCAUUACAAUUAUUUAACAUGUAUUGACCCUGGUUAAGUUGUUUAAAGUGAAUGAAAAGCAGAGUGAACUUGCUGAAAAUGCCAACGGGAAGCCUCCAGUCAAGAAGCAAAGUGCUGGAGAGUUGCUUCUUCACAUAGGUAUUUUUCAUUCAUCAGUAAUGACGAAUGUUUUAGACUUUUCUUUCUUUGUAUAAUGAACACAUCUAUCCCUUGUUUUUGUUCUUUUCUGCAGUUCUACCCCCGCCCCCCCGCCCCAACUCUAACCUUGCAGAUAGAGCUUUCAUUCAUAUAAUGGAAGGUCAGAAAUUCUGUAUGGAUGAAGAGUUUCAUCUCUUUACAGAUGUUGCAGAGUAAAAUAAUAUAUUUGUGAACUAGAAAUGCCACCAGAAAAUUGUGCAUUAAAGAAAUAGAAGAGAAUGAGAGAGAGGGGGGAAAAACAAUUUGAUGAUUAGUCUCGUGGUGAUUUCAUAUACUUAAACAUGGGAUUGUGAGUGAAAUCUCCCUCGCAUAUUGCUGCUUUUACUCCCUUAAACUCUAUGGGAAGGCGCUGAACAAAAAUAUCAUUGGAGUGUUGAUGUAGUCAACUGCCAAGUUACUCUCUGUAGGGAAUUUAUGCCUUAAGCCGACAGCAGCAUUAACAACACAAGCGUAAAAUGCAAGAAAAAUAAGAGAACACGCAGAAAUGUUCACCCAGUUCGGCCCGAAUGACUUAAUCUGGGGGGCUUAGAGUCAGUCCAAUCCACUAGUGCAAUUCUAUCUCUCAGAGAGAGUACAGUACACAGAACCAAAUAGAAUAACCAGAUCAAUCAUCGAUCCAAAAAUGGAUCUCAAAUCUGGACACUACACUUCUUCCUCACAACACCGGCCACCGCUACACAUACGAUAGAUUACUCACACAAAAUGGCAUCCAAGUUACUGUAGCGCACAAGAUUCACAAGAAUCUAUCAAGAGAAUAAUAAUCUCCGGUUUCUACGGGCUAAGAAGAAAGGGAGAAAAAUUUCUCCCAAAAACGAAGAGAGAGAGGAGAAAUAUUCAAAAGUCAAGUAUGAAAAAACCACACCCCAGCCGUAUCCUUCAGAAGACUAAGGGCCAACAAUUUUUCAUCUCUACCGUUCAUUCAAUCAAACGGUCCACACAUGGCCAAAAGAAACACAGAUCCAAGUUAUAUGGUAUGAGCGAAUCAGGAGCUGCCACGUAACGUCACCAACUUAAGGUGCGGUAAAUGUCCAGAUUACCCUCUCUUAAGUAGCAAUUUUGGAGAAACACAUUUUCUCCUUCACUCUCUUUUCAUCUCAUUCUUCCCGUCUAUAAAUAAUUUCAUUCUGCGAAAAAACUCUACACGAUCACCAAUUUAGUGCUAAUAGUUGAUUUGUUGUCAUCUGAACACUAAUGUCUUUGAAGAGGUUUGAAACCUGCAUAAAUUCUCAAUGACAAACCGCUUGUGAGUUUGCUUGCCCGUUUGAGUUUUGGCAAAGUGAGGAAUAAAUGGCCGAUCACCCUCGAUGCUCAAGUAAACUUUCGUAUUUUACUUUAGAGAAUGAUUUGCCAGAUGUGCUAAUACAGAUGUCUUUGCAUAGACACCCAUCACUCUCUAGAAUGCUUGAGUCUUGUUAGUUGGUACCUGAGGUGAACAUGGUCUGCGCUGGUGUUCUGACGCUAAUGUCAAAUCAAAAUAUUCCCUGAGUGCGUUAUUUUAGUGUUUGCUGUGGUACUGCCAGCUUGCUCGGCCUCUGGACUUGACUAGGCUUUCAAAGAGAAGGGAAUGAAGGAAUCAUGUGGGCUUUUUGACUAUCUGAUUGUCUAUAGAUUGGCUUAGCUUGUCUGCUAGGCCAUUUGCUCCUUAAGGGGGUCUGCACACGACCUUUUUCGAGCUCGUGCCUUCUUGGCCUGACGUGAACCUUGAUGAUGAGGCUUACUAAGUAGUAGACUCUAAUCGACAAGUGUCAAACAUGUUGAGUUUCAGUUUUGACCUUGCGGGAUGGCCAUUUGACUUGUGCCAGGUCAUGUAGGCGGGACCCUAAUUGCCACGGGUGUAAACAUCAGAUUGCGUACAAUGAUUGGCAUGCUAAAUUCAUCAUUUGUCACACUUGACGGAUGCUUCAUGG